rnacentral:piRNA from 1 species
UGCAAAUCAGCGUUCUUUGGAGGGUGGAC